rnacentral:rRNA from 1 species
UAAAAGCCUACCAAGCCUAAGAUCCUUAGCUGUUCUGAGAGGUUGAACAGCCACACUGGGACUGAGACAAGGCCCAGGCUCCAUUUGGAGCCAGCAGUGAGGAAUUUUGGACAAUGAGCGAAAGCUUGAUCCAGCAAUACUACAUGAGUGAAGAAGGCUUUCAAGUUGUAACACUCUUUGGUUGAGGAGGAUAAUGACAGUACUCAACAAAAUAGCCCCGGCUAACUUCGUGCCAGCAGCCGCGGUAAGACGAAGGGGGCGAGCGUUAUCCGGAAUGACUGGGCGUAAAGGGUCCGUAGGCAGCAUUUUUUGUUGGAAGUUAAAUAAAAAAGCUUAACUUUUUUCCGCUUCUAAAACGUAAAUGCUUUGAGUUUGAUAGAAGAUAGCAGAAUUUCACAAGGAGGGGUGAUAUCCAGAGAUCUGUGAAGGAAUAUCAGAUGCGAAGGCGGCUAUCUAGAUCAACACUGACGUUGAGGGACGAAAGCAUGGGGAGCAAACAGGAUUAGAUACCCUGGUAGUCCAUGCCCUAAAAGAUGAGUGUUCGUGCUUAGAGAACUUUAGGCACUUAGUUAACACGUUAAACACUCCGCCUGGGGAGUACGAUCGCAAGGUUGGAACUCAAAGGAAUUGACGGGGGCCUAUACAAGUGGUGGAGCAUGUGGUUUAAUGCGAUGAUACGCGCGAAACCUUACCAGUUCUUGACAUAAAAAAGAAAAAGUUUGAAAAAGCAAUUUUAAAGAUUUUUACAGGUGCUGCAUGGCUGUCGUAAGCUCGUGUCGUGAGAUGUUAGGUUAACUCCUUUUAACGGGCGAAACCCCUUUUUUUCGUUGCUACUUAAUUUUAUUUUUAAAGCACUCUAAAAAAACUGCUCCCUUUUUUUAAUUCGGAGAGGAAGGUGGGGAUGACGUCAAGUCCUUAUGGCCCUUAUGAACUGGGCUACACACGUGCUACAAUGGUAAAGACAAUAAGAAGUGAUAGGGUAACCUAAAACCAAUCUUUAAACUUUAUCAAAGUUCGGAUUGUGGACUGCAACUCGUCCAUAUGAAGGUGGAAUCACUAGUAAUCGCACAUCAGCAUGUUGCGGUGAAUUUGUACCUAGGCCUUGUACACACCGCCCGUCACGUGCCGGGAGUUGGC